rnacentral:lncRNA from 1 species
UGAAUACAUUCCUCAUGUUUAAAACCUUUUCAAAUUAUCUUAUUAUUUUAAUUUCCACCUUUUAGGUUGGUUGGUAAUCUUUAAUAUUUAUAAUUCAUCCUUAUUUCCCCAGAGUCAAUGUGGCCCAUUAUCAAUCAAAGUCUGUGCUGGAGGGCGAUUAGUUUACAGGGUUAGGAGGAAAGGAAAGUGAAGAGGAAGAUUCUAGGGCCCGAUUCUCAACCUUCCUCUCCUUCCUCCAGAACUGACUUCUCUUGGACUCCUUCUGUUUCACAUGUUUUUCUCUUUUAGGGCCUCAUUCUCUUCCUAAGGACCUGGACUAUGCCUUCUUCAAUAACAGUCAUCUUAACUACAUCCUGCUUCCCAAGUCGUCCUCCCUGGGGAUGUCUGGGACACUCCGGCCUCACAGAGCAGAGACACAGAUACCAGGACACUUCCCUUUGGACACGUGGUGCAUCAGCUAAGAGAGGUGGGGUAAAAGAGGAAGCAUUGGCUCCCAAGGUUCCUAGUUUGAGGAUAGAAUAGCUGGGAACGCGUGUUACAGUUAUGAAGUUUGCCAUUGCCCUACAGCAGUCCCUUACCAAUAAGCCAAACCAGUAUCUAGAGAAGUGAGGAAAGGCAAGAGAACCACUACAAAGUCAUUGGGUAUAGGGGCUGGGGAUUUAGCUCAGUAGUUCCGCUGCCUGCCUCACAAGCACAAGGUCCUGAGUUCGAUCCCCAGUACAAAAAAAAAAAGUCAUUGGGUAUAAAUUGCUACCAGUACUUUAAUCUUA